rnacentral:piRNA from 1 species
UGCAAGUACAGAGAAACAAGAAGGCUAAAGA